rnacentral:rRNA from 1 species
GAUAAACGCUGGCGGCGUGCAUGAGACAUGCAAGUCGAACGAAGGAUCGGGCUUGCUCGAUCCUUAGUGGCGGACGGCUGAGUAACGCGUAGGUGACCUACCCCGAAGUGGGGAAUAACUGCCCGAAAGGGUGGCUAAUACCGCAUGUGGUCGCACGUUCAUUCGUGCGAGUAAAGCCGCAAGGCGCUUCGGGAGGGGCCUGCGUCCGAUUAGCUCGUUGGUGGGGUAAUGGCUUACCAAGGCGACGAUCGGUAGGUGGUCUGAGAGGACGAUCACCCAGACUGGGACUGGGACACGGCACAGACUCUUACGGGAGGCGGCAGUCGGGAAUUUUGCUCAAUGGGGGAAACCCUGAAGCAGCAACGACGCGUGAGGGAUGAAGGCCUUCGGGUUGUAAACCUCUUUUGUCAGGGACGAUGAUGACGGUACCUGGCGAAUAAGCCACGGCUAACUACGUG